UACGUAGGGUGCAAGCGUUGUCCGGAAUUAUUGGGCGUAAAGAGCUCGUAGGCGGUUUGUCGCGUCCGCUGUGAAAAUCCAGGGCUUAACCCUGGACCUGCAGUGGGUACGGGCAGACUAGAGUGCGGUAGGGGAGAUCGGAAUUCCUGGUGUAGCGGUGGAAUGCGCAGAUAUCAGGAGGAACACCAAUAGCGAAGGCAGCUCGCUGGGACGGUACUGACGCUAAGGCGCGAAAGCGUGGGGAGCGAACAGG
rnacentral:rRNA from 1 species